GUGCGUCUUAAAGACACAGGCCCGUUUUUCUGGAACUUGAGGUUCUAGGUUUGGGUGUGUUGGAUUGCCCUUUGGUCUUUUGUUUUAACUUUCCUGAGCUAGGAGUGGUGGCACAUCUGUAAUCCCAGCAUUCUGAGAAAUUGGAACCAAGCGAAUCGAAAGUUCGAGCCCAGCCUGGGAAAUUUAGCAACUGAGCUAGACCUGAGUUCGAUCCCCAGGGUCUUACAGAGUAGCCACUGAGCAAGAGAAUACUAUAGUGAUAGGAGGGCCAUUCCUGAAGGACAAUGACAGAACUGCAGCUAAGGAGCAUCAAGGGCAGUGGUGCUCAAAGCGGUUUGCCUGGCCAGGAAGAUCAGCAUCUCCGGGGAACUUGUUAGAAACGCACGUGCUAAGGCCCACCUCGGACCUAAUGAAGCAGAAACUGCGGGUAGGGAUCAGCAAUCCGUUUCAG
rnacentral:lncRNA from 1 species